GACGAACGCUGGCGGCGUGCUUAACACAUGCAAGUCGAACGGAAAGGCCCUGCUUUUGUGGGGUGCUCGAGUGGCGAACGGGUGAGUAACACGUGAGUAACCUGCCCUUGACUUUGGGAUAACUUCAGGAAACUGGGGCUAAUACCGGAUAGGAGCUCCUGCUGCAUGGUGGGGGUUGGAAAGUUUCGGCGGUUGGGGAUGGACUCGCGGCUUAUCAGCUUGUUGGUGGGGUAGUGGCUUACCAAGGCUUUGACGGGUAGCCGGCCUGAGAGGGUGACCGGCCACAUUGGGACUGAGAUACGGCCCAGAAUCCUACGGGAGGCAGCAGUGGGGAAUAUUGCACAAUGGGCGGACGCCUGAUGCAGCAACGCCGCGUGCGGGAUGACGGCCUUCGGGUUGUAAACCGCUUUCGCCUGUGACGAAGCGUGAGUGACGGUAAUGGGUAAAGAAGCACCGGCUAACUACGUG
rnacentral:rRNA from 1 species